UAGAGUUUGAUCAUGGCUCAGAUUGAACGCUGGCGGCAGGCCUAACACAUGCAAGUCGAGCGGUAGAGAGAAGCUUGCUUCUCUUGAGAGCGGCGGACGGGUGAGUAAUGCCUAGGAAUCUGCCUGGUAGUGGGGGAUAACGUUCGGAAACGGACGCUAAUACCGCAUACGUCCUACGGGAGAAAGCAGGGGACCUUCGGGCCUUGCGCUAUCAGAUGAGCCUAGGUCGGAUUAGCUAGUUGGUGAGGUAAUGGCUCACCAAGGCGACGAUCCGUAACUGGUCUGAGAGGAUGAUCAGUCACACUGGAACUGAGACACGGUCCAGACUCCUACGGGAGGCAGCAGUGGGGAAUAUUGGACAAUGGGCGAAAGCCUGAUCCAGCCAUGCCGCGUGUGUGAAGAAGGUCUUCGGAUUGUAAAGCACUUUAAGUUGGGAGGAAGGGCAUUAACCUAAUACGUUAGUGUUUGACGUACCGACAG
rnacentral:rRNA from 2 species